GUCUACGGCCAUACCACCCUGAACAAGCCUGAUGUCUGAUCUCAGUAGCUAAGCAGGGUCGGGCCUGGUUAGUACUUGGAUGGGAGACCACCUAGGAAGACCAAGUGCUGUAGGCA
rnacentral:rRNA from 1 species